rnacentral:lncRNA from 1 species
UAUUCUAAUCAAUUUCAAAUUUCUAAUAUUAAAUCCCAAUAUUAUUACAGAGUUUGGAGUACAUUUAAAAUAAGUUGAAAAUUGGAAUAAGCUGUAAAAACAGCAGUCUAAAGUAGCAAAUCUUCAAGGACUUCGUCAAAGCUAAUGGUUGAAAUUCACGCUCCAAUUUUAGCCUCCAAAGCUGGCGCCGCCCUCCCUUCACUCAAUAUCCACUCACCUUUUGCAAACCUGCAAAACCAAUUCACAAUUUAAAAAAAACAGCUUAUCCAAAUAAGCACUUUAAAAACUAGAAAAUAAAGGAUGGAACAAAUAGAUUAGCUCUUUACACAACAAACCAAGAAGAACGUUCAAAGAUCACAUUCCAAUAUCCAAACCAACAACCUUAAAUCCAUAAGAUUAAUCAUCCCACAAAAUCUGGAGAAAGGAUAGCUUGGAAAGUUAUCUUAUAACCAACAAUGAGCAUAUAUAAACAAGAAAAAAUUAAUUAACAAGACACGUUCUGAAAAACUGAGAGAAAUUGCUAAAAAGAUUUUUCUCUGUUAAAACCACAAACAAAAGAACAAGGCAUAGGUUUUUCGACAGAUUCAACAGGAUAACCAAAUAUUUCUCAACUCAAUCAAAGAUUUUUUCUUUGUUAAACUGAAACCAAAUAGAAGAAACUUUUUUUUCCAGAGAACAAUCAAACAAUAAUCCAUAAAAACCUCUAAACCCUAAGACACCAAGCCAAGCAACAACAACACUCAAAGCAAAAAUAAAAGAAAGUGAAAAAUAGAAGAAGAUGGAGAACUUAUCUUAAACCGUGGGGAGCUUCGUCGGGGUUGAAUUUCAAACAAGUAAUUUUUUCCUCCUUCGUUAAAGUCUUUGCAUCAUCAUCAUUUACGCCUCUUCAUACUGGAUGAGAUCUUUCUUUUAAUUUCUUCAAAACUUUGCUGUAGAACUUCAGAUCUUGAAUCUAGGGUUAGGUUUUGGGUGUUUAAGUUUUUGGUUAAGGUUAAGAACGAAUCAAGCUACGUUUGGCCAUAUGAGAAGGAGAGUUUAGGGUUAGUUUUGGUAUUUCGAGGGAGGGCCUCGAUCCGGCCAUUUGAGGAACAAAUCGGAAAAAGCGAGUUCAUAUUUGAACUCAGAGGCAAAAAUAAAGGUGAGGUUUUUUUGUUGUUGUUAGGGUUGAGGGCGGUGGUCACCGGAGAAGACGGUGGCGGCCGCCGCGCGCCGCCGCUUCUCCGAUGAAGGUUGAACGGAGAAGAUGAAAGGAGUUGCAGAGCAACUCUGGUUAUUCUUGAAGAGAGAGAAUUAUUUUUAACAAAUGAAGCGCUUAAGCGCUUUUCCGCUGGUUUUAGGCAAAAGAACUUUAGGUCAGCCUCCCUCAUUGGGAGAAACCUGUUUUCCAACGGUGGGCUUCCAGUCCAGGCCCAAUUGGUCUUUUGUUUAUUUUAGCACCCCAUUUUCAUUUUAUUUUUUUACUAUUUUAUUAUUAUUUGUUGUAUAUUUUGAUUGGGCCUAAGGAAGACCCAUCUUCUUUUCAAGACUGUUAUUUUUCUACAUAUAUGACUUUUUUUUUAUUCAAAUUAAAUAGACAUUUUAGGAUAUAUAAUUAAUUAAUCUUUGAAAAUAUUUUAGAAUUUAAUUAGAUUUCUUUUUUUAGAAAUAAUUGUAGAUUAAUUAGAAUUAUAAGGUGAUUUAGAAUUAUUUUAGAAUUUUUAAUUUAAUUUAGAAUGAUUUUAGAAUUUAAACUUUGAAAAUAUUUAUAACUUAAUUAGAUUUUUUUUAGAGAUAAUUGUAGAUUAAUUAGAAUUAUAAGUUAAUUUAGAAUUAUUUUAGAUUUUUUAAUUUGAUUUAGAAUGAUUUUAGAUUUUAGUCUUUGUUAAUAUUUUAGAAUUUAAUUAGAUCUUUUUAAGAAAUAAUUGUAGAUUAAUUAGAAUUAUAAGUUGAUUUAGAAUUAUUUUAGAAUUUUUAAUUUAAUUUAGAAUGAUUUUAGAAUUUAAACUUUGAAAAUAUUUAUAACUUAAUUAGAUUUUUUUUAGAAAUAAUUGUAGAUUAAUUAGAAUUAUAAGUUAAUUUAGAAUUAUUUUAGAUUUUUUAAUUUGAUUUAGAAUGAUUUUAGAUUUUAAUCUUUGUUAAUAUUUUAGAAUUUAAUUAGAUCUUUUUUAGAAAUAAUUGUAGAUUAAUUAGAAUUAUAAGUUGAUUUAGAAUUAUUUUAGAAUUUUUAAUUUAAUUUAGAAUGAUUUUANNNNNNNNNNNNNNNNNNNNNNNNNNNNNNNNNNNNNNNNNNNNNNNNNNNNNNNNNNNNNNNNNNNNNNNNNNNNNNNNNNNNNNNNNNNNNNNNNNNNNNNNNNNNNNNNNNNNNNNNNNNNNNNNNNNNNNNNNNNNNNNNNNNNNNNNNNNNNNNNNNNNNNNNNNNNNNNNNNNNNNNNNNNNNNNNNNNNNNNNNNNNNNNNNNNNNNNNNNNNNNNNNNNNNNNNNNNNNNNNNNNNNNNNNNNNNNNNNNNNNNNNNNNNNNNNNNNNNNNNNNNNNNNNNNNNNNNNNNNNNNNNNNNNNNNNNNNNNNNNNNNNNNNNNNNNNNNNNNNNNNNNNNNNNNNNNNNNNNNNNNNNNNNNNNNNNNNNNNNNNNNNNNNNNNNNNNNNNNNNNNNNNNNNNNNNNNNNNNNNNNNNNNNNNNNNNNNNNNNNNNNNNNNNNNNNNNNNNNNNNNNNNNNNNNNNNNNNNNNNNNNNNNNNNNNNNNNNNNNNNNNNNNNNNNNNNNNNNNNNNNNNNNNNNNNNNNNNNNNNNNNNNNNNNNNNNNNNNNNNNNNNNNNNNNNNNNNNNNNNNNNNNNNNNNNNNNNNNNNNNNNNNNNNNNNNNNNNNNNNNNNNNNNNNNNNNNNNNNNNNNNNNNNNNNNNNNNNNNNNNNNNNNNNNNNNNNNNNNNNNNNNNNNNNNNNNNNNNNNNNNNNNNNNNNNNNNNNNNNNNNNNNNNNNNNNNNNNNNNNNNNNNNNNNNNNNNNNNNNNNNNNNNNNNNNNNNNNNNNNNNNNNNNNNNNNNNNNNNNNNNNNNNNNNNNNNNNNNNNNNNNNNNNNNNNNNNNNNNNNNNNNNNNNNNNNNNNNNNNNNNNNNNNNNNNNNNNNNNNNNNNNNNNNNNNNNNNNNNNNNNNNNNNNNNNNNNNNNNNNNUAUUCGAUUUUAAUUAAUUCAAUUCAUUCAUAAGAACACAAAUUUUAAAACCUCGAUCCGACAUCGAAAGUUAAAUUAAAAUACUUAAUCACAUUUAAAACAACACUUCAUUUGAAAAUGAAAAGGGGGAUGGUUUUGAGUUUUCAACUCCUCUCCUCGAUUAUUUGAAUACGAGUUUUCUUACUCGGUUAGUCAAAUGGUUGUCAUUUCUAAUUCACUUAAGAACAAAUAAAUCAAAUUCUUUUAUAAUAAAAAAUGAAAAGGGAGAUGACUUUGAGUCUUCAAUUUUUCUCCUCGAUUAUUUGAAUACAAGUUCUCUUACUUGGUUAGUCGAAUAAUCGUCGUUCCUCUACAAACUUCUAAGCCCGAUUAAAUCAAAUUAUUUUCAUAAUAAGCUAAAUGAAAAAGGAGAUGACCUUGAGUUUUCAACUUCUCUCCUCAAUAAUACGAGUUCUCUUACUCGGUCAGUCGAACAAUUGUCAUUUUUUACAAACAUACAACUUAAUCAAAUCAUUUUCAUAACAAACUGUACGAAAAGGGAGAUGGUCUUGAGUUUUCAAUUCCUCUUCUCAAAUGCUUGGAUAUGAGUUGUUUUACUCAGUCAUUCAAGCACUUGUCGUUCAUUCUAAAAAAUACAUCAACCAUACAUAAACCUAUUUUCAUAAUCACUCAGAUGAAAAAGAAAGUUGUCUAGAGUCUUCUAUUCCCUUUCCCGAUUAUUGGGAUACGAGUUGUCUUACUCGAUUAUUCGAGUAUUCGUCAUCCUUUCAAAACACCUUAAUUAUUAUCCAAUCCUUUCUAUAAUUAAGGGUGAAAAAGAAGGUGGUCUAGAGUCUUCUAUUCCCUUUCCCGACUUUAGGAUAUGAGUUGUCUUACUCGAAUAUCCGAGUAAUCGUCAUCCAACCAAAAAUAUAUCAACCAAACAAAAUAUCUAACAUAUUAAUCCAACUUAUCACCCUCGUGUGAUCAAAACUCUUUUAAAAAAAGAACACUAUUUAAUCCUUUCUGAUGCGCACAACAAACUAAUGCUUAAGCCUCCGCCGAGAGUAGACAAGCCAAUGUUUAGCCUUUAGGAUGCGAUCUAAGCAGUUGUUCAUUAAAAAACACCAACCAACCGUAGUUUCCCCGAACUACGAAUGCUCUGAUUUCCUUAUUAUACCAUAAGGAUACGUAGGCAGGAGAUUGUUGUAUCUUCGCGAGCACACUAAUAAAAAACCUCCCCUUUCUGAGGUUCUCAUCCAUUUCUAUUUUUAAUAAUUUUAUAACCCAAAGAUAAUAAACAAACAUAAAUUAACACACGAAACGCACAUUAGAACUAAAAGGUUCCCGUUGAGUACAACGGACUCUGAGGUUCUCAUCCAUUUCUAUUUUUAAUAAUUUUAUAACCCAAAGAUAAUAAACAAACAUAAAUUAACACACGAAACGCACAUUAGAACUAAAAGGUUCCCGUUGAGUACAACGGACGUAAGGGGGGUUAAUACCUUCCCCUUACGUAAUCCACUCCCGAACCCGAAUAUGGUUGCGAUGACCAUUAUUCCAUUUCCUAAAGGUUUUAUCGAUAUUUUCCUAUUCCUUCAUUGGGAUAAAUAAAGUUUGGUGGCGACUCUAUUCGAAUGAAAUUUUUUCCGCGACCAUCGUGAGGAAUCGUAUUUUUUGAGAUGCGACAGAGGGGGUUGACUACAGAUUAACUUCUUAUUUCUUCAGUAUUUGGGGAAUUAAAUAAUGCCUUACAUCGUCAACUAGGUCUUAUCAAUAAAAUCAUACGUCGACAAGUUCUGUUAUUUUAAUUACAUCAUUCUCCUCUUAAGUUUGUUAAUAGGUGAAAAACGAAACAAAGAGGCGUUGAUUUUUUAUUUUUAUGAUGGCAUAAGAAUGAGUGAAAAUGAAUGGAUUGAUUCCAAAAAUGAAUGCUCAUUCUAUUAGAAUUACUUUUCAAAGAGUACAAAUUUUAAAUAUAAACAACACUUAGCAAAAAGAAAUUACAACUGGCAAUGAUAAAGUCUAUUGAUCCUAGGGGUGACCUUAUUUAGGAGACGCUUCUUGAAGUUCUUGCACUUCUAAAGAUAAGGGCUGACCGUUCACCAAUGGGACUCCUCUUUCAAAAGUCAAUUGUAGGUCUAUCAGGUCUUGAACUUUGUAUUCAUACCGAACAUUCUCGUCAUAACUUAUAGCAUAUGGACGAGGAGGAGGAUCAAGUGAUUGUAGCUUCACUAGGGUAUCUCUGAGCAAACACUGAAGUAGUUGACCAUAAGACUUUGGUAUAUGAUCCACCUUCUUUUCCAGCUUCCUUUUUCGUGGCAGGACACACUGAUAUCAUGAUCGAUGAGGUGUAUGAGGAUACAGCUGCAAAUUUUGUUAUGGAGGCAUCAUCCAGGGUUGUUGUAUUUGAAGCAUUGGGUAGGCAUGUGGAUGGCAUGACGAAGGGUUUCCCUCUCUCUUCAAUGGUACUUUCCCCUCUUGAGUCCCUCCAUAGUUUCUUGGGACAUGUGGCAAGUUCAUUUGUGAGUAUUAGGGAAUCUGCUAGCUAAAUAGUUGGAGGAAGGUCGAAAGCGGAAAGGGUAUGCAAAUAUAUGUGUAUGUAUGCAAAUACAUGAAAAUGCAUGGGUAUGCAAAAAUAUUUUUCCUUCGUUUUUUAAGUAUGCUAAAAUUGUUUUCAUGGAGAUGUAAUUCAAUACGAGGUUAGGAUAAAGAUAGACCUAAGGAAACCCAAACGGGUUUAGGGAUAGCGACAAACAUAUGGAAACCCAUAUGGGUUUAGGGAUUGCCACUAACAAAAGGAAACUGUUACGAGUUUAGGAUAAUGAUGGAUACAGAACCCACAUAUGGCUUUCAGGAUAAUGCCGAAUAUAAAGACACCUUGUUUACGAAGGCUCCUUAUAGAUAUGGAUAAUGAUCGGCAUGGGAAACCAAACAGAUUUAGGGAUAGGAAGGUAAUAUGAAAGCAUGCGCUAGAUAAGGUAGUCUUUCUAUGACAUGUUAGUUCUAAGUUUAAACUACUCAAUCCCCUCACUUUUAAGCGUUAGGGUUUCAUUUGGUUGUUUUUAGAACAAACCUAAGGUCAUGGACCCUAGGCGAAAAUUCAUAAUGAUAGGGCGUAGCCCUUCCAUAAUAAAAUUUUAACAGGGUCUCCCUUAGGGAGCCUUCGCAUAAACGAAGUCUCACGUUCGGGGUUCUAGAAGAGGUCCCUAGAGUCAUGGAUCAAGCUCAAAGUUUCAUCAUAAAGAAAUGUUAGCCAACUCAUGACAAACUCUUGAUUUGCUCUAGGCGGAAUCAUCACCAAAGACCCCAUGGGAUGAGAACCCUAGUGGCCAAGAUAGGACCACCCCUUACUUAACUUAUGUGUUUCCUCGAGCUCGGGUAUAGAGCUUUCUCUCAGACAAAGAUAAAACCCAUGGAUAGUAAUGACAAAAUAUAAAUAUAAUAAAGAAAAUAGAAAUAAAUAAAUAAAAUAAUGCAAGAAAGAAUAACAACGAGUUAAAGAAUAAAAAUAAGAAUAAACUAGAUAAACAAACAACCCUAGAACUAAAGGGUGAGCUAGACUCUCUUUAGAGAAUGGUCCCCAGCAGAGUCGCCAGCUAUCGCGGCUGGAAAAAUCACAUAGUCACCACCAUAUUUUAUUCAUUCCUAAGGAAUAAGGGAAAUAAUGAUAAAAACCUAAAGGAAAGGAUAAGACAGUCAUUGCAACCGAAUAUGGUUUCGGGAGUCAGUUAAGUGAGGGGAAGAUGUUAGACACCCAUCACCUACGUUGUACUCAACGAGAACCUCCUCUAGUUCUAAGGUUAAUGGUUUGUUUGCAGGUGUUUAUUUUAAUUAUUUAUUUCUUGCCUAUUUAGUUACAACGAGAAGGGAAUGUACGAAGAGAUAAAAUGGGAAAAGAGUUAGUUUUAGGUUAGGGGACUUGUCUUGGUUUCACAACAUUGUCCCUACGUAUUUCUCAUUGAGUGAUGAGAAAAGUCAUAUUCAUCGUAGUUCGCAGAGUGUGGUUAGUGUUUUUUAUAAAACUAUGUUAAAUCUCCUUCGAGCGAUUGACUUGUGCCUGAAAUUUGAAUUGAAUGGAUGGUAGGUUAGCCUUUACUUCACAUUUAAGGGACCGGUCAGUUCUUUAUUGAAAAAAGUCUUUGAUUUUAUUAUGUUAGUGAAAAUGUUUUUGUGUUCGUUAGCUUGUUUAACCUAGUUCUAAGGGGGAAUAUGAUUGGUUCGGAAAACGAAAAUAGAAGUCCUAAUGUUCUAAUUUUUUUUAAAAUAGUUGAGUAUUGAAAGUAAAGUUAAUUAUAAACUCAUAAAUCUAAAAUUAAGUUCAUAUUUUAAUAAACAAAAAGGUUUCGAAUUAGAUAAUAAAUAUUAAAUGGUAAGAAAAUUAUUAUUUUUAAACCUAAAAUAACCCUAAUAAGUUAAUUUGAAAAUAAAAUUUUAAUUAAAUAUUUAUAAAAAGAUAAAAAGGAAGUUUGAAAAAAUAAUGAUGUUUUAAAUAAAGGAAAAAGGGUAUGAAUAAGUUAUUUACGAAAAAAGAAGAAGAUGAAUGAUAAAGAAUAUGGAUUUAAUAGUUUAGUUUUAAAAAGAGAAGUUUUGAAUUAUUACAAUAAAUAAAUCUAAAAAAGAAAUUAUUAAUUAAACCCUAAAUUUAGUCUAAAAUUAUAACUUAGAAUAGAAUUAGCCAUUUAGAAUUUUCUUUUAUAUCUAACCUAAAAUUGACAAUUAAUUAUUAAAAUAAUAAUAACUAAAAAAAUUAAAAUAACGAUUAUGAAAUAUCAGGAAAAUAUCAAACAAUUAUGAAUGAGACAGUAAGGAAAACCAACCUACGAGAGCCAGAUUUCUCUCGAUGAGAAAAAAAAUAUAAACUUCUUUUAAAUUCUUGUCCUUCUUUGUGCUUUUAGCUUUGACUUCCCCUUGAACUUUCCUAUUUCUCGUGCUUUCGGAAGAAUGGACGAUGGAGUUUUUCUUUUAGGAUUUAGUGUUGUUGUUCCUGAAAAGCAACAACUUUUAUGGUUGUUCGUGAAGAGAAACAACUUUUUGGAGAGAAAAUUUGUAAGUUUGUUGAAGAUCGUCUAUAGGCAAUAUGAAAUGAAGAGAGGUCUAUUUAUAGGAAAACUUUAGGUCAAAAAUUAGUUUUUUAUCUAUCAAUCUGGAGAGAAUCUGUAUGAAUCUGAUUUGAAAAGAUGGUUUAGUUUGUCUGGGUGAACAAGUCUAGGAAUCUAGAUAGAUUUUGUGCAUUUGUGCAAGGUUUGAUUCAAUUUGAAAAAGAUCUUAUAUAUUUUUGGUUUUUUUACUAUUUUUUUACAUAAAAUAAUAAAAAAUUAAUUUUAAAAAUGCCUAAAAAUAAAAAACAAAAAUAAUAUUUAAAUAUUAAAAAAACAUUUUUUUAAAAGCAUAUAAAUUUUUUGAAAAUUAUAAAAAAUAUAACUUUUGAUUUGAUGUUUAACAAUAAUAAUAGAAAUAAUAAUGCUACUAUAACUACAAAUCAUAAAUCCUAGUAACUAAUAGGGAAAAGAAAAAAUGAUAAUAACAAUAAUUAUAAUGAUAACAAUAGUAUAAUAAUAAUAAUAAAGAAUGACAAUAAUAAUGAUAUUAUAAUAUUAAUGAAAAAAUCCUAAUAAUAAUGUUAAUGACAAUAAUAAAAAUCUAUCUUAAUCUAUAAAAAUGAUAAUAAAAUAAACUUCAUAAAAAUAUAAUGAUAACUAAAAAUAAUCUAAUAAUAAUGAUAUAAUAAAAAAAACAAGAAAAAUAUUUUUUUUUGUAAUUUUUGAGCAUUUGUGAUAAAUAAAAUGCAUAAAUUGAUAGAAGUAUUUUUUUAAAUAUAUUAAAAUAUAAAAAACGAAAAUUAAAAAUACAAUUUAUUUUAAUUUUUUUUUGUAAAAAAUAUAUAUAAAGAUAAAAGAGAAAAAUACACUAAAAAAAGAGAAAACUGAGAUUUUAGAUUUUGAUGUUCAAUGCUAAUUAUGUUCGAAUUGCUUUAGUUUAUCUUGAUUGAGAUUAUUGUGAUUUUGUGAGAUUUUUAGAAUGUAUUGGAUUUUAAUUUGAGAUUUUGUGAGUUUUAAAGAGAUUAAUAAAAGAAUGAUACAAAGAUCUAUUUUUGAAUUUUUUUGAAUUUUUUUAAUAAAAGAACAAUAAUAAAUCCUAAUAAAAUAAAUUAAUAGUAAUAGUACAAAUUCUAAUCCAAUAAUAAUAUAAUAGGAAUAGUGAUCAUAAAAUCUAGUAUUCUAAUUACUAAUAACUAAACAUAAUUAUAAGAAAUACUAUAAUAAUAAUAAUAAUAAGAAGAAAAUAAUGUUUAUAAUAUUAAUAAAACCUAAUAAUAAUAACUCCUAAUUAAUAAAUUUGAUAUAUAAAAAUUCAAAACGUGAAAAAUUUAAAAAUGUAAAUUAAAAUCUAAAAAAUAAAAAAGUUGAAAAAUCAGUUUUAGUAAAUACCCAUUUAAUAAAUUCGAAAAUACAAAAAAAAUAUUUAAAAUGAAAUAAAAUAUUUUUGUAAAUUUUAUAUUAUUUGAAUGAAAAAUGUAUAAAAUCAAGAAUUAAAUGAAAAUAUAAUAUUAAAAAGCCUUAAAAUUAAAAGCAAAUAUUAACAAUAAAAUGCAUCUUUUUUACUUUUGUUUUGUAAAUUAAUAAUAACCAUAAUGAUGAUAAUAACCUAAUAAUUUUAAAACAACAAUAAAACCUAAAUCAACAUUUCCUAAAUUUUAAAAUAAGAUAAUAGCAAAAAGAAAAUAAUAAAUUCUUAAAACUAUAAAAACUAAAAUCCUUUUGUGAAUUUUUUAAUUAUUUGACUAAUAUAUGCACAAAAUCAUGAAAUUAAAAAAUCUUUUAAAAAGUGCAAAGUAAAAGAAAAUGAAAAUUAAUAAUUAAGUCCUAAAAAACUUUUAUUUUUAUUUUUAAUUUUUAAUAACAUAUAACAUAUUAAAAUUCCCACUCCUAAUAAUUAAACAUACUAAUAAUGAAAAUAAUACUACACAAGACCUCAUGCUUGAACCUCUUUGAAUUAUCUCUUUACUACCAAAUAGGCUAUCUCAUUUAUUCGUGAUAAAUGGUUACUAAAACCCAUAUAUUAGUAAAAUGCUCGGACAAAAUUGGGACAUGACACCAGUAUGUUACCCAAAAAGGCGAUAAAAGGAAGUGUAUUGUCAGAAUAUCUUACCCACCAACCAGCAGAGGAUUAUCAUCCAAUACAUUUUGAAUUUCUAGAUAAAGAUAUUAUGUUUCUACAUAACGAGGAGGUCACAAAUGAAAAUAAAGAAACCAAACUGAAAGCUCGAUGGAAGCUUCUGUUGGAUGGUGCAUCAGAUGCCAUGCGGCAUGGAAUUGGGGUUGUGUUGAUCUCUCUAGAGAAUGGCUAUACCCAUUUUAUAGCAAGACUACGCUUUAACUAUGAAGCUAACGGAAAUAUACCCGAACGCAUCACACGCUCAAACAUACAACAAUUCGCCAUUAAACUUUAUUUAUUCCCGGAGGAAAGGGAAAAUAUCGAUAAAACCCGGGGAAAGAGAAACUGGAUAAGGAAGUCAGUUAUGCAAGGGGAAGGUAUUAGCAGCCCUCACAUCUGUUAUACUCAAUGAGAACCAUUUUGAUCGUUCUUUGCCUGAAUAAGUGGUAUAUCUAAUUAUUACUCGCGAAAGAAUAAAGGGAAAAGAAAAGAAUAGAUAGAGUGUUCGGUAAGGAUUAAGCCCCUCAUGCCUACGUAUCCUUAUAGUGCAAUAAGGAAUUCAGAGCUCCGUAGUCCAUAGAACUAAUGGUGAGAGGAGAAAAGAUUAUGUUGUUUGAACCCAUGAAGGGAUGAAAUCUGAACCCAAGAGUAAAAUUGGCAUUAACCAAUAUGUGGCAUGGCCAAAGCAUUAACCACUAUAUGGUACGACCGAAAACAAAGAGAAUUAAAUGUUUGGUAUAAGAGCAAACAACUCUUGGUUCACAAGAAGACAUUGGAUAAAGCUCAAAGAGAUAGUGUAUUCGGCUCAAAGAGAGAGUGUAUCAAAUAAAGUAAAUGAAGGUAAUAGGUAUUAAAUGAAUGAAUCAUGGAGAUGAAUGAAAUAAUAAAUAAAUAUUGCUCGCGGAAGAUUUGAAUUUACAUGCCUACGUAUUCUCACCGUGCAAUGAGAAAUUAAGAGCUCCGUAGUUCAUGGAACAACUAAAACAAAGGAAACCAUAAAGACAAAUGCUUUGAACCAAAGACAAAUGCUUUGAACCAAAGAGUAAAGGAAGUACAAACUAAUAUGUGGAGGAACAUAGGCAUCCCUACUGUAUUGUCAUAACCAAAAAAUAAGGAAUUAGGUGUUUGACAUCAAGACAAACAUCUCUUGGUUCAUAAGAUGGAUAAAUGUCCUACAAGGAUAGGUAUGGAACCCAAUUGAGAAUGAUGAUUGGUACAAGAAACAAUAUAUCACUGUAGAGAGAACAAGUAAUUUUAAACCAAAUAAUGGUACAUUGAAUCCAUGAAGGAAUAAACUCUGAACCAAAGAGUAAGAUAGGUACAAACCUGUUUACCGUGAAAAUUAGUAAACAACCGCUGGUCUUCCAAAUCAAAGAUACUUUGGUUACUCACAGGAUCAACUAGAUUGAUCGUAGGUCAUGUACUAUUGUUUAAAAUUAUAUUUGGGAAAUGAUGAACACUUCAACAUUCAUGUUUGAAGAUUGUAGAAUGUAUAGGAAAGUAUAAAUUGCAAAAUGUAAAGGAAAUUAUAACAAAGGUGCUUGAAAAUAACUUGCAAUGGAAGAUAAAUUCUGGAAAAAGGAUAAAUAAACUUUAAUUGAAAUGUAGAAAAUGGUGUUAUCAAAUGUACAUUCUCAAUGACACUCUUUUGUCAAUACACUAGAUGCUUUGAGUAACUUUGAGUAUUUGUACAGCAAUUGAACACACAGAAAUCCCAACACUAAGACCCAUAUAUAUACUAAGUCGAAAUAACUGCUACCAACGACUUUUCUCCCUGAAAAUGACACGUCUCGCUCUGCAUGUAUUUAAUCCAUUAUAAUGUUCCACGUGUCUUUUUUUGAAACUGGAUAAGGACAAAAUACAAGUAUCUUUCUUUUAUUCAAAUUCAAACAUUUAUGUUGAACACAACCUUAAUAUUGCCUCUAUCGAAUUACUACUCUAAACUUAGAAAUAUUUUUGAGCAAUUCCCUCUUACACAAGAAUCACUUCGACUGUAUUUCUCAAAUAAUAUUUUAGGUCGAAGUCCAGAACAUCUUCAAAGAUAAUUUUCUUUCGCCCAUUGAAUCAGGCUUGACGUCGAAACUUCCAACUAACAAAUUACCCCCCAAAAAUGUAUUUUUCGACAUAACGAAGAAAAUGACAUUUUUUUGAAAAUCCAAUUCGCUGUCACAAUCUGUUCACUUGCUAUGACGUCACAACUAUGAUGAUAACUUUUAUAAAACGUCUCUUCAAAACCCAUGUGAGAAUCUUUAUGCAAUCCUCACGCCUCCAAGUCCCUUAGAGAUUGUGGCUAGCCUUUAACUUCCACCGUUCAUCAUGAUUACUCCAACUGACAUGCUUCCCACUUUCUUUUCAACCAUUAAUGCUUGACAAAAACCGCUUCCACUUCAGCAGCUUAUAAAUAUGUAUAUUCAACAUUUUCCAACUUUUUAUCAUUUUGAACUUCCUCAAAAACAAUAUCUUCCACUCUUUAUAUUCCUCAAACAAAAACCAAUUUUGUUUCUUCUUUCAAUGUCUCUGCAACAAUGGCAUCAUCCGCAAAAACUACCAAAGAAUUAACAAAGUGAUAACGCGAAAAUACAUCGUAUAUUUGCCUUGAUUUACACUCAAAAAUCGUAACACUUUCAUUUAUAUUCCGAUUAUUUUGCAAGUGUUCGAGUUAUUUUUGCAGGUAUUUCAAUCCCCAUGCUUAAAUGAGCAAAGUAUAGAAAAGGAAGGAAAAGAAGAAGAAAUAGAAGAGAAAGCAACAGAAAAACAGAAAAACAAAGAACACAAAAAUUGUGGAUGUGACGACCGUCACAAAUCAUGUCACGACCGGCACGCCCAGCCUGUCACGCGGCCAAAAUCAGCGCCUUGGAACAGUCAACAGAAGUGACCCAAUAGGCCUAAAUUCUCGUUGGUCAGCCACUUGCCUGUGAUUUACUCACUCAAACAAGUCAUCCUUGUUUCUCUCAACUGCCAAGACCUAAUGGGGGAAUAUAAAAAUACGUAAGUUGGAAACACUGGGGACGCUUAACUUUUCUCUUUGAAGCCAGCUUUGAAGACCUUUUUCUCUCUGUAUUUUUUCACAGCAAUUCUAUUUUGUCUUUUACUUUUCUUCAGCAACAUUAAUUUUCUUUUACCGUUCAGAGCUUUGAUUUUCCCUUUUUCCUUUCCACCUUUCAUUUAGCCAAAGUAGUAGUUUCCUACACUGGGGAACUACUACAAUUUAUUUAAUUUAGUUUAAGCUAUUAUUUCGAAGAGGCAGAAUCCUACCGACCUGUGGAGGACUGCUCAAGUACUUCAAUUUAGCCAAAGUAGUAGUUUCCUACACUGGGGAACUACUACAAUUUAUUUAAUUUAGUUUAAGCUAUUAUUUCGAAGAGGCAGAAUCCUACCGACCUGUGGAGGACUGCUCAAGUACUUCAAGAUUCGUUAUAUUCUAUUAAUCCAAUUUCCAGGUUUUUAUUCAAUUGUUAUUGUUUUAUUAUUAUUGUAAUCAUGUCUGUUUUAUUGUUGAUCUGCUUAUGUUCGUCUGUGUUUGCAUUGUUUAACAUGUCUGGCUAAACUACCAGUAUCGAUAUGUAACAAUUUAAUUAGACGGGAUUUAAUAAUAAUCGGUGUAAAACUUCUUUCCUCAAACAAUCUUUUUGGCUGUGGUUUUUAAUUUAAAUUUAAUUAACUUUGUUACAAGAGUGAGAAGCUAUUUAAUACGAUUUUUCCACGAGAGUAGGAAAUUAACCAAGGUGAGAACCAACAAUAGCGAGAGCGUGAUGGUCGAACUGGAUAGUAAAAACUAGGCAUUGAUUUUAAAAACAGCGAGAGCACUUUAAAAGCAAUUAGAACUUAUUUAUUUUCAAAAAGUAUUUUUAACUUCAAAUGGGACAGCUAUAGUAAAAACUAGGCAUUGAUUUUAAAAACAGCGAGAGCACUUUAAAAGCAAUUAGAACUUAUUUAUUUUCAAAAAGUAUUUUUAACUUCAAAUGGGACAGCGAGAGCGUACAUUCUGACUUAAAGGUAUAAUCCGAAUCAACAAUCACGAGAGUGUGAGAUAAAGCCUUUUAAAUAAGUAUUUUCUACUGAAAGAUAUUUGGUACUUAAAUUAUACACUGGUGACUUAUCGAAUCCCUGACGAUUAAUGCGUUGCAUACUGAUAUCCUUCUAUUAAUAUUUUCUUAAAACUCAACUUCCCUUAGAUUUAAUUUUCUUCAACCAAACUUCUAAAAAUCAUUCCCUUAGCUAAACAUAGUAAUGUUGGUAGCAUUAGUUUGACCAUCGGUCCCUGUGGGUUCGAUAUCUUUUAAAACUAAAACGGCUGGACUGUGCACUUGCAGUCAAGUACCCAAUAGACUACAUUCUAUAUACAAUCACAGUAUGUAUCACAAAGAACACAAAAGAUUCUAAGAAAUCUCCAGGUCUUCCUCUUGCUGACAAAAUAUUAGGCCCAAACACUGUAAGUAAUCAAUAAUAUGUACCUGAGCCUCUUACUGAAGAACAAAGAAGAAUUUUCCAAUCGUGGGUAUUGAUCACUAUCUCUAUUUCUGGAAAAACUCAUGUUAUGUUAUGACCAUUAUAAAUUCCAAAUGUUGAUCAUAGUAAGCUCAAGGAAGUCUUCCCAACCUACCAUAGGUACAAACCCAUAGCAUGUGCUAAAAAACCUAAGGUUAGCAAUGAAAUCCAUAAUAAGGAAAACCCUAACCCAGAUAAUCAAGGCAACCCUUCGACUGACAAAUCCAUUAAUCUUACAUACAUGAAUAAUGGUUUUAGGGUCUUUCGAUCCUACCCUUUAUUUAGGGAUCCCUCUGAUUAUCUAGCUUGGUUAGAGAAGAUAGAGAAGAAAAAAUCUCAAGUUUGGAAAGAAAUGGGUAUAUUCGACUUAAUACAGUUGCCGAAAGUAGGAUCUGGCUAUUACCAAACCAUGUUAGUUUCCUCCCUAUACUUUUGGGAUAGUACUCACCAUAAUUUUCACCUCCCUUGUGGAAUGAUGAAGCCCACACUUUUUAAUAUAUCUGUCAUCACAUGGCUUAAACCCACUGGCGAAACUUAUGAUCCAGACUUUUUGUCUAAAGACACCAUUGGUUUCGACACCUCCAGAGCUGCUUUUACCACACAUAUAUCCUACUAUCAUGAUAAAGACAUCGACAAAGUAUUUGACACAGAUCAUAUCUCUUUCCUUGCUUUGUGGUUGUCUCGUUGUGCAUUUUGCUCGAAGUCCCUUCAGGUAGCGAAGAAAUACAUCACCCUGGCGAACCAACUUCAUGUUGGACGCAACGUCUGUCUCAGCGAAAUGAUUUGGGCUAACCUUUGCGAAUCUGUGGGAAAAGGUGUGACUGCUCUCAAAAAUAUCCAGAAGAAAGGGAACUUAUUACUUUCCGUCCCCUUCUGGAUGCUAGAAUUAUGGGAUUUUUUUUAUCCAAAUACCCCUUAUUUUCAAUAAAAUUCCCAAAAUAGCCCUAAUUUCAAAAAAAAAAUCCCAAACUACCCCACUUUUAGGAGGAGGCGCCAAUCCAAUUGGCACCUCCUCUUAAAAUUAAAGAGGAGGCGUCAAUUGGAUUAGCUAGGGCACAUGGUGCAACCAAUUCAAUUGGCGCCCAUGUGUUAGUUUUGAGAAGAGGCACCAAUUGGUCUGGCGCCUCAGUGCAAAGUGCAAUUUUUUUGUUGUUAUAAAUAUAGGUGUUGUGUGAAUCAUUUUUCCACAUCUCAUUUCAUCAUUUUGCAAACAUGUUUGGUGUUCGGCGCCGCUAUGGAAAGGUGAUUUAUUCGAGAGACAAACCUCGGAUGUUAAUGCUCUUCUGGAACAUCACUACUUUCGAUCAACUGAAGAGAAAGCUGGUUAGUUGGUUAGAUGGGAAAAUACCAUAAGGGGAAAAAUUAGAUGUAUUGAGAGACUCGAUAGUAUCUUUGGUUGGGUGCGAAUGAAAACUGAUAAGGAUGCUAGGGAAAUGAUGUUUGGACGAGAUGACAUCACUUUGAUUGUUGUAAUCAGUUAGAAAUAUUAUGUUUUCAGUUUCCUUAUGUUGCAGUGAUGUUUGUUGUGAACCUCGUUGUAACAAAAACUUAAUGAUAUAUAAAAAUUAAAGGUUACAAAAAUCCAAUGUUACAAAAAGAUUAUGACUCAGAUGAUGCUCCUCAAUUGGGACAGUUGUUCUUAUUGUGUCUUGGUUGACGACAGAUACUACAUAGUCUUAUCAUUUUAUCUGGCGUAUCCAUUUUUGUCCUGAUACGUGUGCUGGAAAUGUCUCCAUAAUUGCAACAGUUCCUGGCACAUAUGUUUUUAGUGCCCAUAAAAACCGUGGCAAUUCUUUGUAUGAAUCCUCCUAGUUGCCGAAUACAUGUUCAACAACUUUUGUCCUUGCAAUCCAUGCUUUCUUGUAAGAUGGAGUAUAAUUAUAUCUUAUUCUGAUAUGACAUAUCAAUGCAACGCUUAAUUUAUGGUGAUCUUGUUCAACGUUAGUUGCAAUGCAACUGUGAGGUGGGUCUAUUGAAGCUAUCUCCCAAGAGUCUCUUUUCUUUUUGUGAGAUGCAGCCAACCGAAACUUACAAAGGAUGUUAUGACAUUCGAUGACAUACCUUCUCGAAUCAGUGCAUUUCACUAUGAAAUCAGCAGAGUUAUUCAUGUGAAAUUUUUUGGUAGCUUGCACACAUUCUUCUUUAGUGCAGAACAUGUCUUCCACCUUUAACUCGCCUUCUGAUUGUCGAUACGGGUUAUAAAAAACAUUGUUUGAUGUUUCAUCGUCAUGCAGAUCCAUGUUUGUCAUAUGUUGAGGCGGAUUGUAGACAUGACUUGGAGGUAAUGGCUUUGGCUGAUCAUCAUCUUCAAUGUCGUUGUUCAACACAUGAUCGUCCUGUGUCUCAGUCUCUUCUUCUUUAUCAUCAACGAUGUUGACUUCUGCUUCUACUUCUAGUUCGAUGUCAUCUGAGUAUUGUGAAUCAAAUUCAUCAGAUUCGUCCUGAUUAGUUACUUGAGAUUGCUGAGAUGGUAUACUUGGUUGAAGAGUAAUAUACAACUUAAUAUAAUUGCAUCCAGAAUGUUCGUGACUAACAAACAUCUAUUCAACAUCUUCAUCAUCCCGUACCUUUAGAGGGAAAAACUUGCAUUGACUGUUCUAAAAAAAUUGGAUUUUGAUACGUGAUCUUUGACACAUUACCAAAUCCUAUGCAGGAUUGAAUUCGUUUUCUCAAAUGCAAGAAAUUUGCAUUUCUCUUUAUCGUAAGUCGAAUGGUAUCGGUGUUUUGAAAACAAAACCCGUAUAACUCAGACUCGUAUGUCUCACCAUUACAAUGAACAUUGACAUUAUAUUUCGGUGAAGAUGACAUUGUAAUAUUUCUGGUGCAGAUGAAAAUUAAUUUCUUGCUGCAGUUGAAUGUGUGUUGAUUGUUGGAUGUUGAUAGUAAGACACUUAAAUAGGUAAGUGAUUUGUCUAACAUACAAGCAAGUCCGAAGUGAUAUGUCUAACAUGCAAGCAAGUCCGAAGUGAUGUGUCAAACAUGCAAGCUAGACGGAAGUGAUGUGUCCAGCAUGCAAGAGAGAGGAAAGCCACGUGUCACACACGCAAGCGCUGGCUCUAAAUGAAUUGGUGCCUCCUUGCAAUCCUGGCACAUAGGCGUCAUUCCAUUUGGCCACACCAUAUCUUGCAUGCAUGCAGACCUCGUAACCAAUCAUGUAGAGCUAGAUGUGUCAGGCAUGAGCCUAGGGAGGCGCCGAUUUGAAUGGCGCUAGCAUGUAGAAAAUGCACAUGGGCGCCAAUUCAUUUGGCUACCACAUGCAAUCACAUUUUUCCAAGCUUCCACACUUUUGCAUAUAAAUAGGAAGGUGACUUUAACAUUUCUUCCACACCAUCACUCACUACUUCCUCUACAACAUCAAAUCUUUCAUCUGCAAUAACCUCUUUCAUCCGCACCAACCUCUUUCAUCUUCGAUAAGAUGUUUAUCCUCACAAUGGGCGAAUCGCACAGAGGAACGUUGCAAACAUAACAACUUAUAUAAGCGUUUAAUUCUUUUGUUAUUUGUCUAGAGUACCUUUUAAUAACAUAUCAACUUAGUAAAGUGUUUUGUUGUUUCUUUUAUAGGAUCUUUCAAGGUUCCGUACUCGGGUCUACGAAUAUGUCCACAUGGACCCAAUGAUUCAACUGUAUGUCGAACUCGCCGGUUUUGGACAUAUAAGCAAAAUUAUGUCUUGGUCGAUGGAUAAUAAAUUCAUUCUUGCGUUAUAUGAAAGAUGGAGUCCUGAGACACACACAUUCUGGUUUCCAACUAGUGACUGUACCGUGAAGUUAGAAGACGUCUACAUGCUAUUGGGACUGCCUAUUGAAGGUAAAGUUGUAAAUGGUAAAACCAACUAUGCGAAUUCAAUUUGCAUGGACCUCUUGGAUACUGAUUUGUUAGAUGAUAACUCAAUAGGUCAAGGUAUACUCCUUUCACACCUUAAGUCAUACUAUAAUAGUUUACAUUUAGAUGAGCAUUCUAUCGAAGAGGCUCGAAUAAUAAAAACUAGGUGUUACAUUAUGCUUUUAAUUGGUUCUUUUUUAUUUUCCGAAGGUAGUGGUUCUAGUAUGCAUGUUAUGUAUUUACCUUUACUAAGACAUGUAGAUAGAAUAGGAAGUUACAGUUAGGGAUCUGCUUGUCUGGCUUAUCUUUAUAGCUUUUUGUGUUAAAAUUCACACAAAGACACAUUUACCUUUUCUAGAUGUGUUGUUUUGCUUCAAGCAUGGGGUUGGUCAAGACUACCGUCCCUAGCGCCCACCAACAACAAC